rnacentral:rRNA from 1 species
CCUACGGGAGGCAGCAGUGAGGAAUAUUGGUCAAUGGACGAGAGUCUGAACCAGCCAAGUAGCGUGAAGGAUGACGGCCCUAUGGGUUGUAAACUUCUUUUAUAGGGGAAUAAAUUGUGCCACGUGUGGGAUUUUGUAUGUACCAUAUGAAUAAGGAUCGGCUAACUCCGUGCCAGCAGCCGCGGUAAUACGGAGGAUCCGAGCGUUAUCCGGAUUUAGUGGGUUUAAAGGGAGCGUAGGUGGAUUGUUAAGUCAGUUGUGAAAGUUUGCGUCUCAACCGUAAAAUUGCAGUUGAAACUGGCAGUCUUGAGUACAGUAGAGGUGAGCGGAAUUCGUUGUGUAGCGGUGAAAUGCUUAGAUAUCACGAGGAACUCCGAUUGCGAAGGCAGCUCACUGGACUGCAACUGACACUGAGGCUCGAAAGUGUGGGUAUCAAACAGGAUUAGAUACCCCUGUAGUC